CCUUACGUCCGGGGCUACACACGUGCUACAAUGGAUGGUACAGAGGGCAGCUACAUAGCAAUAUGAUGCGAAUCUCACAAAGCCAUUCACAGUUCGGAUUGGGGUCUGCAACUCGACCCCAUGAAGUUGGAUUCGCUAGUAAUCCGCGUAUCAGCAAUGACGCGGUGAAUACGUUCCC
rnacentral:rRNA from 2 species